rnacentral:rRNA from 1 species
AUUGAACGCUGGCGGCAGGCCUAACACAUGCAAGUCGAGCGGAUGAAGGGAGCUUGCUCCUGGAUUCAGCGGCGGACGGGUGAGUAAUGCCUAGGAAUCUGCCUGGUAGUGGGGGAUAACGUCCGGAGACGGGCGCUAAUACCGCAUACGUCCUGAGGGAGAAAGUGGGGGAUCUUCGGACCUCACGCUAUCAGAUGAGCCUAGGUCGGAUUAGCUAGUUGGUGGGGUAAAGGCCCACCAAGGCGACGAUCCGUAACUGGUCUGAGAGGAUGAUCAGUCACACUGGAACUGAGACACGGUCCAGACUCCUACGGGAGGCAGCAGUGGGGAAUAUUGGACAAUGGGCGAAAGCCUGAUCCAGCCAUGCCGCGUGUGUGAAGAAGGUCUUCGGAUUGUAAAGCACUUUAAGUUGGGAGGAAGGGCAGUAAGUUAAUACCUUGCUGUUUUGACGUUACCAACAGAAUAAGCACCGGCUAACUUCGUG